GAGCUGCCCAGAGCGGGGGGCUGCAGAGGAAGCACGAGCCUCCACAGGUCGGCCUGCAAGGGUCCCAGCUGCAGCCACAGGCCGGAGGGGAGGGAAGACCAACAUCACCCCUUUCGCAGACGUCUGAGGAACCGGGAGAGUCAGGAGCGAACCAAAACGCAACUUUUAAAUUCAAAUGUGGGUAUUUUCCAGGAGAUUAUGGUUUAAGACAAGCCUCAAUGAGAAGAGUAAGUCAGGUUUUUUUUUUUUUUUCAAAAGCAAGUAACAGUGGAGUUGGCACCAAUAACCAGCAAACACUGUGGAAGACCCGUCGGAGAAGUGACGUAGUUGACCCACUGAGAAAACGCAAGUGAAAGUAAAAAUGCGUGUGGUCCGUAGAGAAAGAAGAGGUUCUCAUCACCCCUCGGGGGCAUUUGCUCCCUCAUGCACCCGAAUAAUGAUGCAUGGAGCAGCUGUCUUAUAAAUCGCACUGCUCUGAGUGCACACGUCCCAGCCGCCAGCGCGGCUGUCACUCAGAAGGCCCCGAGUGUGUGACGAGGCCGCGGGGCCUUGGCCAAGAGUGAGGCCCAGAGCCUGAUCUAAAGACAGGAUCAGUGAGGGGGAAAGAAAAGAGAAGCACGCAAAUCACUGGAAAAUGGGGGCAUGUGGUAGAGAAGACUCCUGGGUGCUUUGGGAACAGCUCAAAGUACUGGUGUACAACCUUCCCACGAGGCAGGCAGCAUCCUUCACGCAUCUGUGCUCUUCCUGGGGACCUCCUGUGUGUUACUCCGGGUGUGGGAAUACGGCGGUGAGCGAGGGACGGAUCCCUCGCCCCGAGGAGCUGGUGGACGGAAGACGCGGGUAAGAGGCUCUACGCAAGCAGAUACAUGCGACAAAAUACAGUAAGCGUGAUAAGCAAAGCAUGUGAAAGUGUGAGGCCGGGGGGCGUGUGGGCCCACUUCCUGAAGGGUGACAUUCGGAGCUCAUCUUACAGGACACCUAGGAACCUACCAGAGAGAGGACAGAACAGCCGCCCAGAUCCACAGGUCUGCUUCACCUAGGACUUUGCUUUAUUAAGCAAAGCUGCCUGAGGGGCACCUGGGUGGCUCAGUCGGCUUAGUGUCUGCCGUCGGCUCAGGUCAUGAUCUCAGGGUCCUGGGAUCAAGUACCGAGUCAGGCUCCCUGCUCAGUGGGGAGUCUGCUUCUCCCUCUGCCCCUCCCCCUGCUCUCUCUCUCUCAAAUAAAUAAAUAAAAUAUUAAAAAAAAAAAAAGCA
rnacentral:lncRNA from 1 species